rnacentral:misc_RNA from 1 species
AAGUCGUAACAAGGUUUCCGUAGGUGAACCUGCGGAAGGAUCAUUCAUGAUAAUGUAGCUAUUGCUCAUUACACUUGUGAACUGUUACUGUGCCAUUUGGCGGCCGCAAGGUCGUCGUCUGGUCUCAUUUCAUAUAUACCAAUAACUCAUUGUACCAGUAAAUCAUAAAUAUUAUGACAACUUUUAGCAAUGGAUCUCUAGGCUCUC